ensembl:snRNA U6 U6 spliceosomal RNA
GUGCUUGCUUCGGCAGCACAUACACAAAAAUUGGAACAAUACAUAGAAGAUUAGCAUGGCCCCUGUGCAAGGAAGGCACACAGAUUCAUGAAGUGUUCCAUAUUUUU